rnacentral:rRNA from 1 species
GCAUAUCAAUAAGCCGGAGGAAAA